GCGUUGUUCGGAAUUACUGGGCGUAAAGGGCUCGUAGGCGGCCAACUAAGUCCGACGUGAAAUCCCAAGGCUUAACCUUGGAACUGCGUCGGAUACUGGAUGGCUUGAAUUCGGGAGAGGGAUGCAGAAUUCCAGGUGUAGCGGUGAAAUGCGUAGAUAUCUGGAGGAAUACCGGUGGCGAAGGCGGCAUCCUGGACCGACAUUGACGCUGAUGAGCGAAAGCUAGGGGAGCAAACGGG
rnacentral:rRNA from 1 species